AAGGAAUUAAAAUUUGGAAACUGAAAAUGAAAUCAAUCACGAAUCUAGAUUUUAAAGUUUAAAAGAUAUAAUAAGAUGUGGUAUGAGUGUCAAUGAGACAACUAUUCACCAAAGGCAACAUUUGUAAAAGUGCAUCAUUAUAGGUCAAAAUACGGCGUUUAGCACAGAGCCUUUGCUUACACUGAACAGCAAGCUAUAAAGGGCCCCCAAAAAUGGGAAUAAAUGGAUGUUAUAACAUCUUUUAUCUUGGAAACAAUGGCAUUAUUAUGAAAGCAGCAUG
rnacentral:lncRNA from 1 species